AUUGAACGCUGGCGGCAGGCUUAACACAUGCAAGUCGAGCGAGCGGCGGACGGGUGAGUAAUGUCUGGGAAACUGCCUGAUGGAGGGGGAUAACUACUGGAAACGGUAGCUAAUACCGCAUACCAUCAGAUGUGCCCAGGUGGGAUUAGCUAGUAGGUGGGGUAAUGGCUCACCUAGGCGACGAUCCCUGGCUGGUCUGAGAGGAUGACCGUCCAAACUGGAACUGUGACACGGUCCAGACUCCUACGUGAGGCAUCAGUGGGGAAGAUUGCGCAAUGGGCGCAAGCCUGAUGCAGCCGUGCCGCGUGUGUGAAGAAGGCCUUCGGGUUGUAAAGCACUUUCAGCGGGGAGGCGUUACUCGCAGAAGAAGCACCGGCUAACUCCGUGCCAGCAGCCGCGGUAAUUC
rnacentral:rRNA from 1 species